AAAGUUUGCAGGAAGAGGAGGAGACUGGAACGGAAAGGAGGAAGAGACAGGAGGGAGAGGGAGAGAAGCCGUGGCAGGACAAUAUGGGAUGUAUGUGGUUGCUUUUAAAGCCUCCUUGAACCACGCGAAACUGUGAUCGAGCUAGAAAUGAUGGCUCACACCUGGAAUGCCAGUACUUGGAAGGCAAAGUUCUCCAAUGGGUCAAUUCCAGACACUGAACUUGGACAGCUGAUACACAGUAAGGGCCUUUGCCCUCUGAGUCUCGGCAGCCUGAAAACAGUCUUCACCCCCUUUGUAAACAGAAAGGCUGAAAUGGACCUGCGCGGUGGUGAGACACAGCCCUGUAAGCCACAGGGCUUUCCACCCUGGCGAGCCUGCUCUCAGCUGGAACACCUCUGCAGCUAUUCCACUGACCCACAGGACAACUGGAAGCCAAACAUUUGUCCUUCUCAUCACCUCCUCCGCUCCCUACCGGGAGGGAGCUUUCCUGCGGUUCCUGCGCUAUGGAUGGAAUGGCGCAGCCAGGAUGGGACACUCGUGAUAUCUAGUGCCAGGACAGAAAAGCUGGCUAAGCCAGUGGUCAAAAUGCGAAAGAGUUUGGUAAACAUGUGAGGGAGACUGGGGCGGACAGACAGGUCCAGACCUGCCCUAUUAGGCAGGAAAUGUUGCGUAGGAUGUCCUCUCUUCUUCCGCAGAUGGCGAGAGGGCAGAAGCCACCUUAGGCAGCUGUGACCCUGUGCUGGAUGGAACUGCA